rnacentral:rRNA from 1 species
GUUGUUCGGAAUUACUGGGCGUAAAGGGCUCGUAGGUGGCCAACUAAGUCAGACGUGAAAUCCCUCAGCUUAACUGGGGAACUGCGUCUGAUACUGGAAGGCUUGAGACCGGGAGAGGUGAGUGGAAUUCCCAGUGUAGCGGUGAAAUGCGUAGAUAUUGGGAGGAACACCAGUGGCGAAGGCGGCUCACUGGACCGGUACUGACGCUGAGGCGCGAAAGCGUGGGGAGCAAACAGG